UACAGAGGGGGGCAAGCGUUAUUCGGAAUUAUUGGGCGUAAAGGGCGCGUAGGCGGCCUGGCAAGUGGAAGGUGAAAUCCCUCGGCUUAACCGAGGAACUGCCCUCCAAACUGCUUGGCUUGAGUCCGGGAGAGGUGAGUGGAAUUCCCCAGUGUAGCGGUGAAAUGCGUAGAUAUCAGGAGGAACACCGGUGGUGUAAACGGCUUUCUGGACCAUAACUGACGCUGAGGCACGAAAGCGUGGGUAGCAAACAGG
rnacentral:rRNA from 1 species